rnacentral:lncRNA from 1 species
GACCUACCAGUCUGCCCUGCUCAUCCUUGAUCGGGAUGAGACUGAUACCCUGCGAAACGCAACAGAAUCAGCUCCUGGGAUUGUGUUAGCAGAAUGACGGGAGUGUGAGAUCCACCACAUGGCGAGGCACCCCAGGAACCUGUUUUCUUCUUGAAGAGCAACCGAGAACUAUUUCCAAGUUAUCCUUCACUUUGAGGUCUCACUCCUAUCCAUGUAGGCUAGAGUGCAGUAGUGCAAUCUUGGCUCACUGCAGCCUCAACUUCCUGAGCUCAGGUGAUCUUCCCACCUCAGUCUCCCGAGUAGCUGGGACUCCAGGCAAUGGUCAGGUGGAGUAAAACAUAAGGAAGAGCAUGUUUUUGGUUCAAAGGAUGAAAAAAACUGGGUAACACACCUUCCUUACAUCUAGCUGGGCCAUUGAACCAGAAUAUGCCAGUGUUUAAAACACUGAAAUGCCAGCUUUUCUCUUAAAGGACAACAUGGAGGUGUCUGAUUUCUGCUUGG